CGAGGUAACGGCUCACCAAGUCGACGAUCAGUAGCCGAACUGAGAGGUUGAACGGCCACAUUGGGACUGAGACACGGCCCAGACUCAUACGGGAGGCAGCAGUGGGGGAUAUUGCACAAUGGGGGAAACCCUGAUGCAGCGAUGCCGCGUGGAGGAAGAAGGUUUUCGGAUUGUAAACUCCUGUCGUAAGGGAAGAGAAAGGACUGUACCUUACAAGAAAGCUCCGGCUAACUACGUGCCAGCAGCCGCGGUAAUACGUAGGGAGCGAGCGUUGUCCGGAAUGACUGGGUGUAAAGGGAGCGUAGGCGGGAUGGCAAGUCAGAUGUGAAACCUGAGGGCUCAACCUUCAGACUGCAUUUGAAACUGCUGUUCUUGAGUGAAGUAGAGGUGAGCGGAAUUCCUGGUGUAGCGGUGAAAUGCGUAGAGAUCAGGAGGAACAUCGGUGGCGAAGGCGGCUUACUGGGCUUUUACUGACGCUGAGGCUCGAAAGCGUGGGGAGCAAACAGGAUUAGAUACCCUGGUAGUCCACGCUGUAAACGAUGAUUACUAGGUGUGGGGGGAUUGACCCCUUCCGUGCCGCAGUUAACACAAUAAGUAAUCCACCUGGGGAGUACGACCGCAAGGUUGAAACUCAAAGGAAUUGACGGGGGCCCGCACAAGCAGUGGAGUAUGUGGUUUAAUUCGAAGCAACGCGAAGAACCUUACCAGGUCUUGACACCGAGUGACGUAUCCAGAGAUGGAUAUUUCCUUCGGGACACAAAGACAGGUGGUGCAUGGUUGUCGUCAGCUCGUGUCGUGAGAUGUUGGGUUAAGUCCCGCAACGAGCGCAACCCUUAUCAUUAGUUGCUACGCAAGAGCACUCUAAUGAGACUGCCGUUGACAAAACGGAGGAAGGUGGGGAUGACGUCAAAUCAUCAUGCCCCUUAUGACCUGGGCUACACACGUACUACAAUGGCGAUCGAACAGAGGGAGCAAGACAGCGAUGUGGAGCCAAUCCCAAAAAAUCGCCCCAGUUCAGAUUGCAGGCUGCAACUCGCCUGCAUGAAGUCGGAAUUGCUAGUAAUCGCAGAUCAGCAUGCUGCGGUGAAUACGUUCCCGGGCCUUGUACACACCGCCCGUCACACCAUGGGAGUCGGUAACACCCAAAGCCGGUCGUCUAACCUUCGGGAGGACGCCGUCUAAGGUGGGAUUGAUGACUGGGGUGAAGUCGUAACAAGGUAGCCGUAUCGGGAGGUGCGGCUG
rnacentral:rRNA from 1 species